GCGUUCCCUGCAUUAGGCAGGUGGAUUCUUAACCGCUGCAUCAUCAAGAGAAGUCCCUCCCCUUGUUUUGUUACUACCAACGUAUCUGGAGAACUGGAGUAUCUCAGGGGACAGAGUGGGGUAAAGAGUCCACAAGGCCUCUGGGGAGAAAGGCUGGAAGAUUUUCAGAGUAGUUCCUCUUUCUGAAUCAUGGAGCUCUGUGAAAGACUGAUGAAAACAAUGCGCUUUCUUCUCUAGAAACUCUUCCAAGAAGAAAUCAGUUGCCUCUGGAGCAUCUCUGCACCACCCGCUCUCCCCGGCACGUGACAACGUAAGAUUCCUGGACUGAACCAGGCAGAGCGUGUAUCUAGGAAGCGGAGUGAAGAUGGCAGUGGCAGUAACAGAGGCAAUGGCAGGACCACAGUGGAGUGACUGCCGCGGGACAACACACUGGAACCAGCAGAGAAAUGGCCUGUCUACCGGCCAGGAACCAGCAGCAAAGUAAAGGGACCGCCAUACCUCUACCCAACGUCAGGGUAUUAUGCCUGUGAAAGCCCCCAAGCUGCCCAUCUGGAAUGGUGGCUAGAAAUUUUCAUUCUUAAGUGGGAAGAAGACCCACCACUCCUCAGCAAUGGGAUCAAACUUUUAAAUACUGGGAUUUCCAUGGAUGCUCCAAAGCCCAUUCCAGGCUGCCAAGACAGACUCUUCAAUCAGGCCAUUAAAUAGUCAAGACCAGGUUGUGUUAAAAACACCC
ensembl:lncRNA